UUUGUAUACAAAGAUGAUCUCAACUGGCUCAAAGGAAUUGGCUGUUUUGUUUGGGACACUCCUGAAAUUCUCCAUGCUAAACAUGCCUAUGAUCUUCGCAAUCUCCUCAAAUACAAGGCAGAGGCAGAGAAAAUGAAGAGCAAAUAUUCUGUAGUCACACACACACCUCUCUACGUUCAAAAUGUGCUCAGUGGCAAGAAUCUGAGUGAAGCUGUUUACCGCCAUAACUAUGUGCAUCAUAUCAAAGGGAAAUAUACGCCAACAGAUAAGACAGUGGAUCUGGAGCGGGCAAAUCAGGCUUACAAGAUACAGAGUGAA